rnacentral:rRNA from 1 species
GUGCCAGCAGCCGCGGUAAUUCCAGCUCCAAUAGCGUAUAUUAAAGUUGUUGUGGUUAAAAAGCUCGUAGUUGAGCCUUGGGCCUGGCUGGCCGGUCCGCCUCACCGCGUGCACUGGUCCGGCCGGGCCUUUCCCUCUGUGGAACCCCAUACCCUUCACUGGGCGUGGCGGGGAAACAGGACAUUUACUUUGAAAAAAUUAGAGUGCUCCAGGCAGGCCUAUGCUCGAAUACAUUAGCAUGGAAUAAUAAAAUAGGACGCGCGGUUCUAUUUUGUUGGUUUAUAGGACCGCCGUAAUGAUUAAUAGGGACAGUCGGGGGCAUCAGUAUUCAACUGUCAGAGGUGAAAUUCUUGGAUCAGUUGAAGACUAACUACUGCGAAAGCAUUUGCCAAGGAUGUUUUCAUUAAUCAGGAACGAAAGUUAGGGGAUCGAAGACGAUCAGAUACCGUCGUAGUCUUAACCAUAAACUAUGCCGACUAGGGAUCGGACGGUGUUAUUCAUGACCCGUUCGGCACCUUACGAGAAAUCAAAGUGCUUGGGCUCCAGGGGGAGUAUGGUCGCAAGGCUGAAACUUAAAGAAAUUGACGGAAGGGCACCACCAGGGUGGAGCCUGCGGCUUAAUUUGACUCAACACGGGGAAACUCACCAGGUCCAGACACAAUAAGGAUUGACAGAUUGAGAGCUCUUUCUUGAUUUUGUGGGUGGUGGUGCAUGGCCGUUCUUAGUUGGUGGGGUGACUUGUCUGCUUAAUUGCGAUACGAACGAGACCUUAACCUGCUAAAUAGCCCGCAUUGCUCCGGCAGUGCGCUGGCUUCUUAGAGGGACUUUCGGCUCAAGGCCGAAGGAAGUUUGAGGCAAUAACAG